UUUUCCUGAAGAACUGGAGCACGGCAAUGCCUCCAUAAGAAUUGAAAACACUAAGGUGGCUGACAGCGGAAAAUAUACCUGUGAAUUUCCACGUAUCCAGCCAGAAAAAAUAUUCCACAUUGAGCUUAUUGUUGAGCCCAUAUUAAAGGACAGAACAGAUGAAAAAAUCCCAGGGGUAGCUCCAAAGCCAAUAGUCAGACAGCUUGAUGAAAAUGGCCUUCUCCAGUGUGAUGUUGAUGGUGCUUUCCCGAAACCCACAGUAGAGUGGUGGGACAGUGCUAACCAAAGACUUCCAUCUGAGGAGCAAGUGGCUGCACCAAAAGGAAAUCGCUUCCACAUCACC